rnacentral:rRNA from 1 species
UACGAAGGGGGCUAGCGUUGCUCGGAAUCACUGGGCGUAAAGGGUGCGUAGGCGGGUCUUUAAGUCAGGGGGAAAAUCCUGGAGCUCAACUCCAGAACUGCCUUUGAUACUGAGGAUCUUGAGUUCGGGAGAGGUGAGUGGAACUGCGAGUGUAGAGGUGAAAUUCGUAGAUAUUCGCAAGAACACCAGUGGCGAAGGCGGCUCACUGGCCCGAUACUGACGCUGAGGCACGAAAGCGUGGGGAGCAAACAGG